GGUACUUUAGCUCAGUUGGAUAGAGUAUGUGCCUCCGGAGCACAGGGUCAUGGGUUCGAAUCCCAUAAGUACCGCCA
rnacentral:tRNA from 25 species